AUCCAUCGCCACUCACCCACGACUCCCCAACCCCCCCUCGCCGCCGCCGCUGCCUACCCCGCCUCCUACCGGUGCGCGGCGCGCCGUCAUCCCCGCCUCCUGCCGGUGCGCCGCCGGACCCUCCUUCUUCCCUAGAGCGCCGCCACCCCGCUGCCUCCUACCGGCGUGCCGCCGGACCCUCCUUUUUCCCUGGAGCGCUGCCACCCCGCUGCCCCCGCCAUCUCCCACCAUGGGGUAACCCUAGAUGGCCGUCGGCCCGCCGCUGCCGACGUCGCCUCCUUCUCCCUUGGCCCUCAGCCACCCAACGGCCGCUGCAUCACGCCGAUUAGGUCCUACCCCAGGACAGCCACGGGUGUCGUCAUCUCCAGAAGCCUGUCCCCAAAUCGUUGCCACCUGCGCCUCCGAUUCAGCCAAUGUCGAUCAUCUCCCUCUUCGUCCUCCACGGGUGUUGCUCUGCCUCGGUCUAUAAUUAACGUCCAUGCCCCAACGCCUUCUCGCCGUUCCUCCCCUGAGCGCGCCCUGCGGCUAACCCUAGGGACCGAGUCGGGCUUGCCGGCGCGGCCGCAUCGUGUGCUGUUGGCACCCCACUCCACCUGCUCUGCUGUGCCCCGGUCUCCAACAGCCAUUCUGAGGAACCCAUCUCGCCGCCACCAUCGUCUGCUAUCCUCCAGCAAGUGUGCUGCGGUACGCCGAUGUCCUCCGAUCGGCAAGCUCCGCCCCUGCCGGCAUCGUCCACCCACACCAUGUCCUCCUCUUUGCCAAGCAGCGUUAAGCGGUGAUUAUCAGAAGUCCAAGACCACACUGUAGGCAGGAAAAAGGAAUGUUCUUGGUAAGCUAUAGUAUUCCAUUCUUAAUUUACUCACUUCAAUGCAUAGUUUUGUUAGUUCUUCCAUUAGUUUCUAUUGAAGUAUGCUCAAUGGGAUAGGGUUUAGAAAGUUAUAUGCAUAAUGGGAGAUUACUUGAUUUGCUAAUCCUUAUCUGGUUAGUGAUUCCUCACAAACUCAAGCGAUAAUAUGCACAUGUUUCUUCGUGUCGUACUUUGAUCUAUGCGUGUUGAUUGAGAGAUUCUUGGUCUUCAGUUUUUAUGUACAACUCAAGUGACCAAAUUGUAUUAGAUUCUUUUCCCUCACAAACUGCAGUCUUGGUGCCUUCCUGUUGAAAAAAAAAAGAAAUGGGGGCAUGGGGCACAUUAUGCAGUCAGAACCUAGAUGUUACUAUACAACCAUGAACAUAAUUCUGGGAGGUAGCACGUGGUCGUUCUUAGUAACAGUAUGUUGGAAUUGUAGGAUAUGGCUCUCAUUUUGUUUGGUGUUGGAAUAGUAGGUUGCUCGCAGGUGACUUCUCAGGUGUCACGGCGCUUGCAUUGUAGAUUAGUAGAGGGAAUAUUGAGACGACGAGGAGAGGCGACUUAACUGCAGUCCGCACAACACCAUGAACCAUGUAGUACUAACUUGCCACUGCCACAUUUGCUCACUCAUUUCUUUCUUAUGCAUACAAUUUCCAUUUUUAAUUAUUUUAUUUAGUUUUUUCUCUACUUAUGUUGCAUCUUAUGUAAUGCAUAUGAAAGUUUAAUACAUUGACAAGUGUGAACUAUGGUUCUCUGUAGAAUGUGAACUUCUGGACUCCUCUCAUAAUUAUCAACAUUUUCAUAUGUUGUAACCUCUUAUGGGCUGAUAUUCUGCAAACACCAUAGAACUUGAUAGGAUAAAGAUUUAUCACUCGAGUUCAAUCUUCGUGAAAUACUCCCUCUGUCUGAAAAUAUUACGUCUUAUAUUUUGAGAUGGUGGGAGUAUAUGAUAUGUGACCGCCUGGACUACGAUGACAGGGCUGACAAAGAUGAACCAAGGUAAGCCGUGCCUCUGGUAUUCUAACAUGUGAAAUCCAUAAGACAAUUCUUUCGAGUUGCGACCUGCAUUGUGGUGUCUCCGUUCAUCAAUUUCUGAGCACCAGCUCCAGUGAAAUUAGGUGUUCAUCCAGCCAUACUCCUAGGUGGCUUUCUUUGGCCUGUUUCUUAUUGUGUAUUUAGUGGUUAUGCACAAGCUUCAUCAUCUGAUAUUUCUGCAGUAAUUACUGAAAACAAUUUGAGGACAAAGCUUUGAUUGUUGUUGUAGUUGAAGAUUCAGAGUUGCAAGGCAGGCAUAGUUAACAGGGAUAAGAAACUAUAGAAGAUUUAUCAAAUCAGACAUGGGCUUGGUUAUGCAAUGAUUCAUUGGGAUCUGAGAAGGUUAUAGGGGUGGCCCGAUAUCAUGGAGACUUGGAGAGGCGCCGUGCUCGGUCCAGUGAGGAGCUCCGGGUCAACACUGUGGCUGCGUGGUGGGCAUGAACCAUGGUUUUGUCAUCCUUGAACCGGUCUGCCCUCAAACGAACCCCUUAGAUGCAGCCAACACCUUGUAGCCCACACAUUACUCUCUUCAGGUCGCCGUUUUGGACCGUGUAGCGGUGUCGCCCGAGAGCCACGCGACUACCAUAUCGCCCCUCUGGGAGAGCCAUAUUAGGGUGGAUCUGGGCCCAUGCCCGACGAAGAGGGGGUGGCGGAGGGAAGGACUGCUGGUGGUGGCAGUCAUUUGGUGGCGACGACUGGUGAAGCGUGGAAAAGGUCGGAGAGGUGGACCAUUAGGGGAAUGUCAGUGACACCGCCGCUGCUUUCUCUCCUUCUCGAGACACCAUCUUUGUGAGCAAAGGAGACCGUGUUGCUAUCU